rnacentral:pre_miRNA from 1 species
AAAGUACUCCCUCCGUCCCAAAAUUCUUGUCUUAGAUUUGUGUAGAUACGGAUGUAUCAAGUCACAUUUUAGUAUUAGAUACAUCCGUAUCUAGACAAAUCUAAGACAAGAAAUUUGGGACAGAGGGAGUAGUUG